GGAUUGCAUUAGUUCCUUGUAUGCAAGCUUUGGAUGAUCUCUAAUUUACCUAUGCGGGUCAGACUAAACUCCAUGGUAUAUCACCCUCAACUACUAACUUACCAGGGGUGCUAUAAUCGUCUACAAAAACCCCAGUAACUGUACUUUUCCUGCAUUUUGUCUGGUAUGCUGAAUGCUGGUGGAGAAAAAUCAUACAGCUGAAGAUGAGGGCUGGCCGAGUGGCGCGAUGGUUAAGAACUGGC